rnacentral:rRNA from 1 species
GACGAACGCUGGCGGCGUGCUUAACACAUGCAAGUCGAGCGGGAAACUUCGGUUUCCAGCGGCGGACGGGUGAGUAACACGUGGGCAACCUGCUUCACAAUGAGGGAUAGCCUUCCGAAAGGAAGAUUAAUACCUCAUAACACAAGAGAAACGCAUGUUUAUUUUGCCAAAGAAUUUCGUUGUGAGAUGGGCCCGCGGCGCAUUAGCUUGUUGGUGAGGUAACGGCCCACCUAGGCUUCGAUGCGUAGCCGACCUGAGAGGGUGAUCGGCCACAUUGGAACUGAGACACGGUCCAGACUCCUACGGGAGGCAGCAGUGGGGAAUAUUGCACAAUGGAGGAAACUCUGAUGCAGCAACGCCGCGUGAGUGAUGAAGGUCUUCGGAUUGUAAAGCUCUGUCUUCUGGGACGAUAAUGACGGUACCAGAGGAGGAAGCCAUGGCUAACUACGUGCCAGCCGCCGCAGUAA